CGCGAAACCUUUACACUGCACGCAAGUGCGAUAAGGGGACCCCAAGUGCGAGGGCAUACAGUCCUCGCUUUUGUGUACCGUAGGGAGGUACACGAAUAAGAGCUGGGCAAGACCGGUGCCAGCCGCCGCGGUAAUACCGGCAGCUCAAGUGAUGGCCGCUAUUAUUGGGCCUAAAGCGUCCGUAGCCGGCCGCACAAGUCCGUCGGGAAAUCCACCCGCCUAACGGGUGGGCGUCCGGCGGAAACUGUGCGGCUUGGGACCGGAAGACUCGAGGGGUACGUCCGGGGUAGGAGUGAAAUCCCGUAAUCCUGGACGGACCGCCGGUGGCGAAAGCGCCUCGAGAGGACGGAUCCGACGGUGAGGGACGAAAGCUAGGGUCUCGAACCGGAUUAGAUACCCGGGUAGUCCUAGCCGUAAACGAUGCUCGCUAGGCGUGACGCAGGCUACGAGCCUGCGCUGUGCCGUAGGGAAGCCGUGAAGCGAGCCGCCUGGGAAGUACGUCCGCAAGGAUGAAACUUAAAGGAAUUGGCGGGGGAGCACUACAACC
rnacentral:rRNA from 1 species